rnacentral:misc_RNA from 1 species
UUUCCGUAGGUGAACCUGCGGAGGGAUCAUUACAGAGUUCAUGCCCUACCGGGUAGAUCUCCCACCCUAUGUUAUUAUUACUUUGUUGCUUUGGCGGGCCGUUAGGCUCCGGCCCGACUACCGGCCCCGGCUGGUAAGCGCCCGCCAGAGGACCCAAAACCCUGAAUAUUAGUGUCGUCUGAGUACUAUAUAAUAGUUAAGACUUUCAACAACGGAUCUCUUGGUUCUG